rnacentral:rRNA from 1 species
UAGGGAAUCUUCCGCAAUGGACGAAAGUCUGACGGAGCAACGCCGCGUGAGUGAAGAAGGAUUUCGGUUCGUAAAACUCUGUUGUUAGGGAAGAAAAAAUGUAUAGUAACUAUAUACAAAAGAGACGGUACCUAACCAGAAAGCCGCGGCUAACUACGUGCCAGCAGCCGCGGUAAUACGUAGGUGGCAAGCGUUGUCCGGAAUUAUUGGGCGUAAAGCGCGCGCAGGUGGUUUAGAAAGUCUGAUGUGAAAGCCCACGGCUCAACCGUGGAGGGUCAUUGGAAACUAAUAAACUUGAGUGCAGGAGAGAAAAGUGGAAUUCCUAGUGUAGCGGUGAAAUGCGUAGAGAUUAGGAGGAACACCGGUGGCGAAAGCGGCUUUUUGGCCUGCAACUGACACUGAGGCGCGAAAGCGUGGGGAGCAAACAGG